rnacentral:lncRNA from 1 species
UCCUAUUGUUCAUAUUUAUAUUACAAAUAUUAGCAUGUCUUCCAAGUAUCUACAAAUAAGGUGCAUAACCAACCCAUUGAAAAUGAUUAAACAUUCAUUAUGGACUCAAGUUUGGAAAGAAAACAAAAAAAUUGCUGAUAAACAACUCCAUGUUUUUACAUAAAUUCCUAGCACUUCAUACUAUAGUAAAAAAAAAGGACGGGUGCGGCAACACGUGCCAGCAAUGAUCUAGUAGAAGAAAUAUAUCACAUCCAACAAGGAGUCUCACCCGUCACGCAGCAACCCACAAGUCAGUUCAGCACGCCGGCAAGGAAGAGGAGGUCUGAUGGGCAGCCACCAUGGAUGGGAGAGCCCGCGGCUGCCGUAGUGCCGUGCAGGGCAGGGCUAGAGCAAGGGAUGGUAGCAGUUAUCUCCAUUUACACAGCAGCGUGUCCUAAAAUGGGAGUGCCCCUCUCCCCCUCUUCUCUUCUUCCUCGACCUCCGACGCUCGCUCACGAGUUGGGCUUCACAGUGGCAAUGGAUCUGUUAGAAGCAUGCACGGUAAAGGAGAUUAGCAAGCACAGAAAGAAUGAGUAGGGCUCACGGAAAAAAGCAGAAGGAGGUGAGCCGACACCCGGCAGUAACGGACCUCCACCAUGAUCGAUAGGAAGGAAGAACGUGGGGCGGCGCCGCCGUGUCGUCGCUGCCUCUUCGGAUCACCCGGGUACUGGGGGGACAGCGACCUCGACCGAGCGUUAGAUGGGCUAGCCCAUGCAGAGGGGCAGUAACAGGCUCCUUGUAGCAGACCCAAUCAACGAGGUGCCUGCGUUUUUGCUACGGGAGUAGUAGCCCAGCCGAGUGUGCAGGGUUGUGCGGGAUUAGAAACCUACAUCUGACGGCCAGCAGAGUCCAUAGGCAAGAUCGAACGGCCAGAAAUCAUGAAUGCGUGAGAGGCUUCCUAGAGUGCACAGUUAUAAUGUCUUUAAAUGCAAAGGCAUGAGAUUGAGUACAUGAGUGUUGUUUGCAGAUAUUGUUAAAGUUUGACUGCUCAAAUAUAUGAAUCUUUUGUACGGUGGAAGUUGCAUGUGUUGAAUUAUUGGCGUCUUCUUAUAUUUUUAUCAAUAUUGCAAUAUAGAAAAAAGUACUUGCCUAGUCAUACAUGAUUGAGAAGAACGGACGAAUACAGAAAACAUAGUCAUGUAUUGUAUGCCCCCAUACCUUACAUGAUUGACGAUCUGGCCAUCGACUGGUGCUAGAAGAUCUCCCACUCUUAGAGCCUGCCAAGGCUCUGCUUGUGGCUCUCAAAGACCUCAAAUAGCUCUGGCUGGUAUUCGCCACCUUGCUCAUCGUUGCCGAAGUCAACGACAUCGUCUCUCGAAGCAUGUGGUUCAAGCGUGUCAAUUUACAACAUCCCUGGAUUGAUUAAAUCACUACUGAAGAACAUCAGGUGGCAUGAAACAAUUAUGGUCAUCCUCAGAGAAAAUAUACGCAAGCGGCAAUGAAAGUUGUACAUACCUUUAAUUCACAACGACCUUGCUGGCAAUGUCGGUGAUUUUCAGGUUCUUUGGAGGUCCCACGUGGGCUCAUGGUCUCAACAUGCGCGCCAACGGUUUGGUUAUGUACCCUAUAAAGCUGUGCGCGUGCUCUGAUGCUAUGUCGGCAUUCUCCUCGAUGCAAAUCAAACAAUUCAAGUGAUAUAUUUUCUUGUACAUGUGUGUAAUUAAUCAAUCUAAGGACUAAAUCUUGUUGUAGCCUUGCAAGUGGAGAUGUGUCAAAUCCUAGAAAAUCAUCAAGUUACGAUUGAGCAAGUCUAGCCGAGUAGAAGACACAAAAAAUGCAUUUACUAUGCUUCCUCUUUCAACUAAAAGGGCGACUUGACUCAAUCAAAUGUCCAUACAUGCUAAUUUAAAGGCUUAAAAACUCUCUAUUCUACUAAAGUUCAUAAGAAUUAUGAAGAAACAUAUAGGAUAAAGAUGUAUAUCUAGAAGGGGAUUGCAGCCUUUCUAGUGUGAAGCUCAGAUCUAAAACCACUCUCAGCUUAGACAUAUCUUAUUUAUAGUGUUCUGAUCCAAAAGAGGAAAACAUGAUCAAUUAAUUUCCAAAAGCUGACCAUAUAAGCAAGGCUAAAAGGAGCCCAUUAGUACUGCAAGGUUGAUCUAAUCACUAUAUCAACUACUAAUACAAAUUUCGAACAAUAAAAGCAACCAUUAUGUGGUAGAAACGGACAAUAAUAUUUGAUCCUUGAAUGAUUUGCAGACUCGUAUUAUAGUGUCAAAUACAGGUUAUAGGAUAUCCCUCCAUUUAAAACAUUUCCCAAUAAACAUUUAGUUAUCUUCUCUAGGCUCUAAAAUAUCAAUAUGAACUAAAUGGCUUAAGCUGCAGGGAGGAGGAAGCCUACUUGUCUUUAAUCUAGGGAAAAAUACAUACCUAGUUGACAGUAUUGUUGAUCAGUUAUCUAGCAACCCUAUAGUCAUAAU